GACAGGGGCUGCGAGGACGCCGAGAUGGCCGAUGAGAUUGACUGGCUGGACCUGCCCGGCCGGUGGACCUAUGGAGUGGACCGCGGUGGGAGAAUCUUCUUCAUCAAUGAUGAGGAGAAGUCAACCAGCUGGGUGCACCCUGGUACCAACUCCCCGAUCCAGAGCGGACACUGUUCCAGCCCAGGUUUGCCCAAGGGCUGGGAAAUGGAUUCUACCCAGGAAGGAGCUG